rnacentral:rRNA from 1 species
GUCUCAGUUCGGAUUGGAGUCUGCAACCCGACUCCAUGAAGCUGGAUUCGCUAGUAAUCGCGCAUCAGCCACGGCGCGGUGAAUACGUUCCCGGGCCUCGUACACACGCCCGUCAAGCCAUGGAAGCCGGGGGGUGCCUGAAGUGCGCUGCCGCGAGGAGCGCCCUAGGGUAAAACCGGUGACUGGGGCUAAGUCGUAACAAGGUAGC